GCCUGGGUAGCUCAGUUGGUUAAGCAUCCUGGUUUCAGCUCAGGUCAUCAUCUUGAGGUUCAUGGGUUCGAGCCCCAUAUUGGGCA
rnacentral:tRNA from 1 species